rnacentral:rRNA from 1 species
AGUGAACGCUGGCGGUAGGCCUAACACAUGCAAGUCGAACGGCAGCACAGUAAGAGCUUGCUCUUACGGGUGGCGAGUGGCGGACGGGUGAGGAAUACAUCGGAAUCUACUUUUUCGUGGGGGAUAACGUAGGGAAACUUACGCUAAUACCGCAUACGACCUACGGGUGAAAGCAGGGGAUCUUCGGACCUUGCGCGAUUGAAUGAGCCGAUGUCGGAUUAGCUAGUUGGCGGGGUAUAGGCCCACCAAGGCGACGAUCCGUAGCUGGUCUGAGAGGAUGAUCAGCCUCACUGGAACUGAGACACGGUCCAGACUCCUACGGGAGGCAGCAGUGGGGAAUAUUGGACAAUGGGCGCAAGCCUGAUCCAGCCAUACCGCGUGGGUGAAGAAGGCCUUCGGGUUGUAAAGCCCUUUUGUUGGGAAAGAAAAGCAGCAGGUUAAUACCCCGCUGUUCUGACGGUACCCAAAGAAUAAGCACCGGCUAACUUCGUG